GAUGAACGCUGACCGAAUGCCUAACACAUGCAAGUCCACUUGAAUUUGGGUUUUUAACUUAGGUUUGGGUGGCGGACGGGUGAGUAACGCGUAAAGAACUUGCCUCACAGCUAGGGACAACAUUUGGAAACGAAUGCUAAUACCUAAUAUUAUGAUAAUAGGGCAUCCUAUAAUUAUGAAAGCUAUAAGCGCUGUGAGAGAGCUUUGCGUCCCAUUAGCUAGUUGGAGAGGUAACGGCUCACCAAGGCGAUGAUGGGUAGCCGGCCUGAGAGGGUGAUCGGCCACAAGGGGACUGAGACACGGCCCUUACUCCUACGGGAGGCAGCAGUGGGGAAUAUUGGACAAUGGACCAAGAGUCUGAUCCAGCAAUUCUGUGUGCACGAUAAAGUUUUUCGGAAUGUAAAGUGCUUUCAGUUGGGAAGAAAGAAAUGACGGUACCAACAGAAGAAGUGACGGCUAAAUACGUG
rnacentral:rRNA from 1 species